rnacentral:rRNA from 1 species
CGCUAUCACUCCUACGGGGAGGCAGCAGUGGGGAAUAUUGGACAAUGGGGGGAACCCUGAUCCAGCCAUGCCGCGUGUGUGAAGAAGGCCUUAUGGUUGUAAAGCACUUUAAGCGAGGAGGAGGCUACUGAGACUAAUACUCUUGGAUAGUGGACGUUACUCGCAGAAUAAGCACCGGCUAACUCUGUGCCAGCAGCCGCGGUAAUACAGAGGGUGCGAGCGUUAAUCGGAUUUACUGGGCGUAAAGCGUGCGUAGGCGGCUUUUAAGUCGGAUGUGAAAUCCCCGAGCUUAACUUGGGAAUUGCAUUCGAUACUGGGAAGCUAGAGUAUGGGAGAGGAUGGUAGAAUUCCAGGUGUAGCGGUGAAAUGCGUAGAGAUCUGGAGGAAUACCGAUGGCGAAGGCAGCCAUCUGGCCUAAUACUGACGCUGAGGUACGAAAGCAUGGGGAGCAAACAGGAUUAGAUACCCUGGUAG